rnacentral:rRNA from 1 species
CCUACGGGUGGCAGCAGUAGGGAAUCUUCCACAAUGGGCGAAAGCCUGAUGGAGCAACGCCGCGUGGGUGAAGAAGGUCUUCGGAUCGUAAAACCCUGUUGUUAGAGAAGAAAGUGCGUGAGAGUAACUGUUCACGUUUCGACGGUAUCUAACCAGAAAGCCACGGCAAACUACGUGCCAGCAGCCGCGGUAAUACGUAGGUGGCAAGCGUUAUCCGGGUUGAGUGGGCGAAAAGGGAACGCAGGCGGUCUUGUAAGUCUGAUGGGAAAGCCUUCGGCUUAACCGGAGUAGUGCAUUGGAAACGGGGAGACUUGAGUGCAGAAGAGGAGAGUGGAACUCCAUGUGUAGCGGGGAAAUGCGUAGAUAUAUGGAAGAACACCAGUGGCGAAAGCGGCUCUCUGGUCUGUAACUGACGCUGAGGUUCGAAAGCGUGGGUAGCAAACAGGAUUAGAUACCCCUGAGUC